GAGCGGACAGAAGGGAGCUUGCUCCCGGAUGUUAGCGGCGCACGUGUGAGUAACACGUGGGUAACCUGCCUGUAAGACUGGAAUAUCUCCGGAAAACCGGAGCUAAUACCGGAUAGUUCCUUGAACCACAUGGUUCACGGAUGAAAGACGGUUUCUGCUGUCACUUACAAAUGGACCCGCGGCGCAUUAGCUAGUUGGUGAGGUAAUGGCUCACCAAGGCGACGAUGCGUAGCCGACCUGAGAGGGUGAUCAGCCACACUGGGACUGAAACACGGCCCAAACUCCUACGGGAGGCAGCAGUAGGGAAUAUUCCGCAAUGAACCAAAGUCUGACGGAGCAACACCGCGUGAGUGAGGAAGGUUUUCGGAUCGUAAAGCUCUGUUGUUAGGGAAAAACAAGUGCGAGAGUAACUGCUCGCACCUUGACGGUACCUAACCAGAAAGCCACGGCUAACUACGUGCCAACAGCCGCGGUAAUACGUAGGUGGCAAGCGUUGUCCGGAAUUAUUGGGCGUAAAGGGCUCGCAGGCGGUUUAUUAAGUCUGAUGAGAAAGCCCCCGGCUCAACCGGGGAGGGUCAUUGGAAACUGGGAAACUUGAGUUCAGAAGAGGAGAGUGGAAUUUCCCGUGUAGCGGUGAAAUGGGUAGAGAUUUGGAGGGACUCCAGUGGCGAAGGCGACUCUCUGGUCUGUAUCUGACCCUGAGGAUCGAAAGCCUGGG
rnacentral:rRNA from 1 species